GUUAAAAAUGCAGCACCCUUCAGAAAUUACAAAAAAACAACCAAAAUAAAAACAUAGGAUUGUGAAUGUCAGUUUGGCUGCUUGAAAUUUUAGCCUUUCACUCUACUUAACAGGAAAUCUCUGAUUUUUCUCUGAAGCUCUCAUGUUCAAUUAUAUUAAAUAUAAAGAGAGAAAGAAAGAGAGAAAGGGAGAAAAGGAGGAAGGGAGGAAGAAGGAAGGAAGGAAAGAAGGAAGGAAGGAAGGAAAUAGGGACCUGGCCACAUGCAAGGAACUAAAAGGGUUAUUCUAGCCAGACACACUGAGGUAGUUGAGGGCUGUGGAUUCCUUCUUUCAGGGAGAUCAGAGAGAUAACUUCCUGUUUAUUGAUCUGUCCUUAGCCUAGUGGGAGUUGACCUUCCUGUUCCUUGGGAGCUGAAGGUUCCUGCUUUCCUACUAUCCAGCUAUCCUGAGAUCCUGAUAUUCUGGUGGGUGGUCCUGUCAAUCUCUGUCUCCACAUUUCCAUCUACCUGAGUUCCUGUGUGAGAUCCUGUGUCCUGAGUGUUUCCUGACUGCAGAGAGAGAACUGUCAAUACUGAGUAAAGUCUAUCUGUAGGGAAAGACCUGAAGCCAUCUUGGCCUUAGGCCUUAGAGGGUGAAUUCACUAAGAGUUCAAGAAGCAAGAGAAGAUAAAAUAAAAUAUGUAGAGACACAAGAUUUUCUGAGGCUCUUGAAUAACUUGCCAAAAGACAAUGUUAUAAAUUGGGAAGAGUAAAGCAAUAAUUAUACUUGUAGAUCAUUCUGAACUUUGAAGAAAGCAAGGACUGUUAAGAAAAGAGGUCAGAAGUCAGAUGACUGAAGGUUUUCAAGAGACUAGGAGAAGAGGAAGUGGUAAAAAAGAACUGUAGAUGAACACAAACUCAAUGCUGAAUCUUGAAUGGAAAUUCUUCAAAGAAAGGAAAAUCAAGAAGAAACAAGAGAGAAGGGGAGUCUUAACUUGCUCUCAUGCUGAGAGGCUCAAACAAGAUAAUGGAAAGAUGUUACCAGUUGACUGGGACCAGAAGAACAGAUCUGCUGGAGAAAAUGCUGAAAAAUUCAGCAUGAUUCCAGAUAGCCUAAGAAGACAGCAAGAGAAGAUGCCCCCAGAAAUCAAACACUGAUGAGAGAGACUCUCAGUGAGCCCUUGCUGGGUCAUCCACCCCCUUCAGUCCUCCCUGUGUGCCAAUAUUUUAUGUUGAUUAUAAAAAAAAGAGAGAAUGCCAACUAAUGGCUCCCUAUCAAUGAAUCUAUCAAAUCAUUUUUAAUAAGUUAAAGGACAUCUAAACAUUGUUAGACCCUCUGUAGUACCUUUGGGCCCUUUUAUAUUCUGUUGAGACAAUCUUAAAAUGUAUAAAUAUCAUACACAGAAUGAUUCAUUGGGGGAGAAUAAUGUAUCUCCCAAUGAAUCAGCAUGAGGUAUUUGGAAAAUAAAUGUUAAACUGGAAUAUUUUCUGUUAAAUGA
rnacentral:lncRNA from 1 species